rnacentral:rRNA from 1 species
GGUUCUUUGAAAAACUAUAAAGAAUCUGGCCUGCCCAAUGAAAAUAAUUUGAAUGGCCGCGAUAUUUUAAUCGUGCUAAGGUAGCAUAAUCAAUUGUCUGUUAAUUGAAGACUGGAAUGAAUGGUUGGACUUGAGAUAAUUUUUUUUUAUUAUAUGGUGAAUUUUUUAUUUUUAUGAGGAGAUAAAAAUGAAGCAGGAAGACGAGAAGACCCUAUUAAGCUUAAUAAAAAAUCUUGUAGAAAUGUGUAGUGAUAAUUACUAGAGAUAAUAUUUUACUGGGGCGGUAAAGUUAGAUAAAACAACUUAUGAAUAAAAUAAUAGGAUAAAUGAAAAAUGAUCCAAAAUUUUUGAUUUAAAGACUAAGUUACUAUAGGGAUAACAGCGUAAUUUUAUUUUGAAGUUCAAAUUUAUGAUAGAGUUUGCGACCUCGAUGUUGGUUUAAGAUACCUAUUUGAUGAAGAAGUUAAAUAAGGUGGUUUGUUCAACCAUUAAAUUCUUAUAUGAUCUGAGU